rnacentral:lncRNA from 1 species
CCAAUUCUGUCUUGUCAAGUGACCAUGAUUAGAACUAAACUUGUAGGUACAGAGUCCAGUACACAACUGAUUUAAUUCUGACCCUAGAAGUCCUGCAUCUCUACAAUGAAUUAAGGAUAUAGUAGUAAAUUUAAGCAUAUGUUUAUCACAACUGUUAUGGCAUCAUGCAACUAUCAUUCAUGGUAAUAUGCAAGAAGUUGUGGAAGGGGAACACUAUAGAAAAAUAAAUUUCUAGAUUCACUACAAUUGGUAUAUGAGAAGGUGGUGAAUCUGCUCGUAUCCAUUAGCUAUGAAGACCCACCAGCUGGUUUCCUAUAAAUGACUAACAUGCUGGUGAUUUAGUAUAAUUUAUGAAAGUUUCCAGAUGUAGACUAACUGUUAUUUUAUAGAAGAUGCAAUACUGGCUAAUUCGAAGCAAGAGAUGUCUUCUUUAACCUUAAAACAAAUAUUUUAGGGCCUGAUUGCCAGAGUAACUUAUAUGGUGCAGGAUAUUUUGUUCUUGGAGAAGGUGAUGGAAGGAAAAGAAUCUUAAACAAUGAGGGGAGCAUUCCAUCUGGCAAUCCACUGCAAAAUAGGAUUCUGUGUUCCAUCUGAAAGGUGUUUUAACUUUAAGGGCUGCUAGGAAUAAAGAUUUCCCAUUAAACUCCUAGUUUUUUGGCUAAGCGUAGAUUAAAAACAUAAUCUAUCGCUGGGUAAGAUGCUCCGGCAUCCAAACAGGGUCUUAGGAUUUUCUGAAUUUGUUAUUGUCUGACUCAGAAAACUUUGUAAAGUGUGGUUUCAAGGGUUUAGCUACCGAUCAUAGUCAUUGUCUGAAUUAUGACAGGUGAGUAGUAGUACCAACUACUGGUAUCACCCAGAAACUCCAAAACUUGGGUUCCUUGAUGUCUUAGACAUCCAUAUAUUGGGAAUACUUCAUUACAUUGUUGAUGCUUCAUAUUGGCUCAUCAUGAUAGCAUCUGUACCGCACAUCUAUUUUUGGCACUUCUGCAUGCUGAUUGACUAGUCUAAAAUAAUAUCUAACAAGAAUUAGUAACUUGUAUAGAGCAUAUAUCCUAACUAGUCCAAGCAAUUAUUCAUUAUAUACAUGUUCAAUCAUAUUUUCUCACACAUCUGAAAGAUAGAGAUGUCCCUAUUUCAAAUUUCUUAAAAUUCAGUAUGCUAGACACUCUACAGAUUAGCCAAUAUUUUAGUUUCAAUGAUAAUUUAAUAUGUUACUUCUCACUGCAUGCUAUAUAAAAAUUUCACUUUGCGAAAUAAUUCAUCCUCCUAGCAACCAUUCCAAUCCAAUCUGUCAUUGAAUGAUGAUUUGGUGUAUGGAACAUUGUGCUACAAAUGCAUGAAACUAUUGUCUGGUUAGGAUCUUACAUAGUUAAUUACAUAUGUACAUGCGUUACUGCAUAUAUGCACCAGACAUGUAAGUUAUACUAGAAGUCAUAUAUGAGGUGAAUUGAGCUUCACAUAAGCCUUUUCUUUUUUCUUUUCCCUACAAAACAAGAAAAAGAAGAAAAAGCUUAUAUAGGAAUAGGACUUGAUUCACCUUAUGCCUUGAGAUGUUGCUCUUCAAAAAUACGUCGAGACUACAGAGUGGGGCUAUAUAAUGUAAUGAAUACUCAUACAAUAGGUUAUUUCAUGUUAGUUGCAUAACUUGCAUAUGUACGCCAUCCAUGGAAGGUAACUUUAAUAUGCUUUUCUUCAUUUUGAAUGCCGCGAUUGGUAGGAAAGGGCCGGAUAUGUUAAUUUUUGCAUGAUGCCAUCAUGCGCAGAGUCAAAUGACUUGAAAUGCAAAGUUGAUGUAUCAAAUCUAAUGGUAACAUUUCAGUUUUACACAAAAAGUUUGAUAUGGUAAUAUUAAACCAAAGAAGGCCAUCCUUUGAUGUAUUAACAUCUACCUAAGGUCUUAAAAACUGGUGGGAUGGGCAGUGUCCCGACCGUUCUGUCCAUUCCUGUGAAAAAAGGGGACUGGGAUCAGGGGUGGGAGAAGAAAAAGGAAAGAGAAAAGGAAGGAAGGAAGGGAGAAGAAAAAGCAAAGAAGAAAGGAAGGGAGAAGAAAAAGCAAGGAAGGAAAGAAGGAAGAAGUGAAGGAAAAAAGAAGAAAAAGGAAAGAAAGGAAGACAGGAAAAGAAAGAAAGAAAGGAAUGAAGAAGAAAGAAAACGGAAGAAGAAAAGAAAGAAAGGAAAUAAAGAAGGAAAAAGAACGAACGAAAGAAAGAAAUGAAAGAAUAGUGGGGGAGGAGAGAGAUGGAGGAUGCUUACCGGGACAGCCGCCUAGAUAGGGAAAAAAUCAAAGGGCAUCCUGUUUUGUGGAAAAACCGGGAUACCCUCAUCCCAUAGGAUUUAAAACCUUGUUGACAUCAAGAUAUAUUCACAACAAGUGUAUUGCAGUGUCGGAUAAUUACUUACCAAAGUUUGACAUGAUAGACAAGUCCAAUUGCAGUGCUCAUAUUUUAACCUUGGUUUACAUCAAAUCAUGCUUGUUACUUUUGUAAGUAGCUCUAAUGUUGAAUGGAAAAACUAUGGCUAUGUGGCUAAUUCCUUUGCUUUUAGACAUACAAGCACAUUCUUGUGCAUGCAUACAGAUCUAGAUAGAGGGAUACACAUACUUGCACAUACAUGGAAUGCAUUACUCGUCGAAGCAAAAGUGCAAAACACCCAAGUGGACUGCAUCAUCAAGGGAUGCAUGCAGUCUUGGUUGGCCAGUUUGGUCCUUAUGCUUGACUCUCUCUCUCUCUCUCUCUCUCUCUCUCUCUCACACACACACACACACACACACACACACACACACUACUACUACUACUACUACGUACGUACGUACGUACGUACGUACGUUACGUUACGUUANNNNNNNNNNNNNNNNNNNNGUAGCAUGCAGUCUUGGUUGGUCCGACGUUUGGUUCCGUUACUUGUCUUGUACGUCUCUCUCUCUCUCUCUCUCUCUCUCUCACACACACACACACACACACACACACACACAAACCAGCAAAUGUUACAUCCACAAGUUGAGUUCGGCCCAUUAGAUCCUUUUAUGAGUUCAUUAACAUGUCUUCCAUAAGCAUAGACACAACCAAUAAGCCUUACCCUAUCUAUUUGGAAUCGCUGUUGGUUCAUAGUUUAUGUUAUUUUGCUCUACAUCAGGUUUUGUGCCUGAUCUGAUCUUUUGUUCAUUUAACUGUCAUAAUAAUGAUAAAGAACAUGCUAAUUUGUACAUACGAUACUUUCAGCGAAAAUAAUCCUCAGGUUGUCAUUGGAAGCUGCCUUGACCCUUUUUUUAAUUUUUUUUUUUUCAUGAGACCGUAUGAAUCUUAUUGUAUAUGCAAUUCUUCAUUUUUUCAGAUAUGCAGAGCACUUGCUUACAUCCAUAACAGUGUUGGCAUCUGUCAUCGAGAUAUUAAACCUCAAAACUUGCUUGUAAGAUCCUUCUCUCUUCUUCCUGAGAAUGUAUUUAUAUUAGACAGACUUCUAACUGUGCCCCAUCUGUAUAUCACAAUCAUGUUGUCUGUUUGCAUCCAUAUGCAUGCAUACUCACAAUCUUUAACAUACUGCCAUCAACAGGCUCAAGGAAGGCUUUUCACGGUCACAUCAAGCGUUUGAUAUUUAUUUUCCAGAAAUCCAGGCUUUAAAUGUAUUUUCAUCAUCAAAUUAGUAGUCUUGCUGUUGAAAAAUAUUUUUUUAGCUCGGCUAGCUGUGUAGCGAGAAUUUAAAAAAUAUGUCUACUGUCGUGUCUUUACACAUGUAUGAUGAGCAGAAAAUCCUUGGUUUUCUGAGGCUGUUAAUUCUCAAAGUGGUGAUAGGAUGUUUGAUUGUUAUUAAGUGUUCCAUGUCCUCUCUUAUCCUAGUUUUUGUUUUGCAUAUUCACCGUGCACAUGCUGUAAGCCAGGUUUAUAAGUCUCCCGUCACAUGCAUAGGUAUCAACUUGUAAGAAGUUCUCAAUUAAAUGGGGGACAUUAGUUGACUUAGAGAAAUGUUAUAUUUCAUUAAUAUAGUUUUGCCAUGACAAGUGAAUAAUAUAGACAUGGUAAUUAUUGAACCAGUUGGAUUUGACGCUGUCUCCAGCUGAAACAUGUCUUGCAUAAACUCUUGAAAAUUCAUUGAUUAUGCUGAUCACCACAUACUAAACUGUUGUUUUCAGGUUAAUCCACAUACGCAACAGCUCAAAUUGUGUGAUUUUGGCAGUGCAAAAGUAUUGGUAAGCCUUCUUUGCAUAAUAUUUUUUGUUUGAUUGCUUUAAGCUAUGGUUCUGUUGUUAUAAUCCAGGUGAAAGGAGAACCAAAUAUCUCUUACAUAUGCUCGAGAUAUUAUCGUGCACCUGAGCUCAUAUUUGGUGCAACUGAGUAUACAACCGCAAUUGACAUGUGGUCUACAGGCUGUGUAAUGGCUGAGUUGAUACUUGGGCAGGUUGUUUCUUUCUCAUUUGGAAGUUUAAUUUGUAAUUUUUAAAUUCUAUGCUAUUGUAUAUAGUGUUUCAUCAGGUUUUCUACUCCUUAUUACUCCAAAAGUUCUGAUAUUUAAGUCAAAUGCAUGGCUAGUGUAGCCCUUGUUUCCUGGAGAAAGUGGAGUUGAUCAGCUGGUUGAGAUCAUCAAGGUGAUACCAUUAUAUAAUAAGUGCACAUCCUCUUUAUAUUCUCCUGGUUUUCUGAAUCCCAGUUCUGUGUCCAUGGAUAUGUUUCAAAGGUUCUGGGAACGCCCACAAGAGAAGAGAUAAAGUGCAUGAAUCCAAAUUACACCGAGUUUAAGUUUCCACAGAUAAAGGCACAUCCAUGGCAUAAGGUAAAUACAAACUAAGUAUCUUAGUUUUGUAUGACUUUGUUCAUCUUAUUUGGGCAAAUGUGUCUAGCCAUUUUUUUAUUGAGAUUUAGCUUGACUGAUUGCUUGUCCAAACCCCUGAAAGCAUCAAUAUAGGGCAUAAAGCAUUAUACUUUCCGCUAAUCUUGUUGAGUACCUUUUUAUGAACUUUCUUUCUUUGGAUUCUAAUGAAUAUUCUAUUGCCUUCUUAAGAGAAAAGGAAGAGAGUUUGUCAUACUUGAUGACAUUAUUUUUUGUAAGGGAAGAAAGACUACACUCCUUGUAUGAUGAUUUUGGAAUACCUUCGCGUUAAAAGAAGAAGAAAUCUAAAGAAGAUUUUUUUUUUAUUUUAAAUAUUUGCCAAAUAGGAAGCAUGUUUUCUGUUUUUUCACCUUGAUACUCAAACUAAAAUGCCUGACACCAUUGAUACCAGGUUGGCUUAAUUGGAUGAAACGUAUGAAAAUUAAAAUUUGAGGAUGUAUAAUAAUAUAUCCUUUUCUAGCAGUAUGCGAUCUCCACUUUCCUGUGUUUAUGGUUGAACACAUUAUCUAUAACGAUCAAAUAUACCAAAAUGUAAGGAAUUCGUCUCGUGGCUUGUAAAUAUAUACAACUUAAACACAUUAUCUAUAAUGAUCAAUCAUCCCAAAAAUUUAAGGAACUCAUCUCGUGGCUUCUAAAUAUAUACAACCAUUGAGCAGUUAAGUUGUCAUCUAGUUAGUUAAUCUAUAAUGCAUUGAUUGAAAGCUUAGUCAUAUAUAUACAAGUUUUGAAUUGUUGAAGAUGACAUUUUUUUUUUCUGUUGUGGUUGUAGAACUUUCAUAUACAAUUAUAAGACAACCAGUAGUGUUCCACACAAAAAAUGACAGUUCCAGAUAUAGGUCUGUGAAACAUGUUUGUUUGUGAUAUUAUUGAAUCAUUUCCAGCUUGAGGAUAUGCAUGCUAAGAAAUAGUCAUUUCCAUUCUUCAGCUGUGAUGGAAUUAAGAACAACUACCAACUAUGACCUCCCCCAAAGACCUGAUUUUGUCAACAACAUAGAGGAAUGGUACUAUGGCUGUUUCAAAUAUCAUAUUAACAAACUUUUCGAUGUUUCUGCUAUAUAAAAUAAGUGGAGGGUACAUGAUGUGGAACAUCGCAGAUGGUGCUUAUCAAGACAUGCUUAUUGCAUUUAAAUAUCUUAAUUGUCAUGAACUAAGGGUUGCCUCAAUGGUUAUACCUCUCUGCCUAGGAACUAGAAGUUUCGUGUUCAAGUCUUGAGUGGUCCAUCCUCAAGGAUUUGGAUCUAGCUAAUCAUACAUAUAUCCUAAUUAUCAUCUUCAAGGUUCACCAAACUAGUAUUAGGGGUCAUAUUGGCCGACUACUGGUUUCUGUACAUUACCAAACCGAGGCAUACCAAAACUAGGGGGAUGGAGAAGGAGAGGGAGGGGGAUAGAGAGAGCAUAGGGCUUCCUUGAACAGAGAGGUUGAGAGAGAGAUGGAGAGCUAGAGGCGAGUGAGAGAGCGAGAGAAUAGGGAGGAUGAGAGAGAGACAGAGGGAGAGAUGGAUGCAUAUCAGUCUGUCAUCGUUGUUAUUGUUGUAGGCAGCAGCAUGAUAAUGAAAACCUAUGCUAGUGCAAGAGAAAUGAGCAAAAGGCAUGACUUGAGAGGUGAGUGAGGGUCUGGCUUAGCCGUGGAUGGUUAUAUAAAACAUGAACCGCCCAAACUACCUUGAACUGAGUCAAACCAAGCGGUUCCAUCUGGUUUGGACUAAUUCGAGGCCCAGACUGAAUCGGAAGGCUGUGCAUCCCAAGUAACUGACUGGUCCAAGUUAGUAUGCUUCGGAUCGGGUGGUUCAAGACAGUUUGGCCGUCCUUAAUCAUCUUGCUAUGAUGAAUGAGAUGGAUGCCUUUUUUUAAAUUUGAAUAUGCCCUUGAUUUUGCAGUUUAGUAUGUUUUGGAAUGUCUAAUAUCGUAACUUAUACAUAAAUAAAGGACUUGAAACUUUUUUCAAAGCUAAAUCAUGCUGUUUAACUAUCAUCUGAAGCAUCAGUAGGAACACAUCCUGUGGAUACAUGUCUGGAACAAGUAAAACUACUGCAUGAAAUCUGGAAAAAAUUGAGGUGGCAAUGAAAUUCAUGAUCUCAAAUAAGUCAUGCUACUAAUGUAUGAAUUUUUGGAUUCUGGUUACUUGUUCUAUAUAUAAUCAGAUGAUUUUUCGUUAAACCAUCUAGGUUCAAAUUUGUUGUUAGCUCAAACUGAAGCUGUUCUCUUCUAGAAAUGGAAAGUUUGGGAGGCAAGGUAGCUCAGUCAAUUUGACCAUCUUAGUUUGAAACAGUUUAAGUAGCUCAGUCAAUUUGACCAUCUUAGUUUGAAACAGUUUAAUAAAUUGGAAAUAGGAGCUAUUAAGAGGACCAGCAAAGUGCACUUUACUGUUGGGUAAUGAAGUAUGCAGCUGCAUCCCGAUCCAGUUGUGGGAAGACUAGCUCUCACAUUAAUUCAAUAAAAAGAAAUAGUUAAUAGAAGGAUGUCAUCCUUUGUCAAGAUAUGACAGCAAAUAAUCUUGUAAAAGAGAAUUUGGAAGAACGAGUAUCGCUAACAACACCUGACUGACCCUCUUGUAUUAGCUCAAAUUUUCUUGAAGACCACCAGUCGAGUUGUUAAGAAAGAGGAAGCUUCCUUUUCAAUCAGAAGCGUUUGCCUCAUGCAUGGCUCAACAUCUCGCAUGCAUGUCGAUCCUGAUUAUUUUGGCUUAUUAUGGUCUGACAUCUCCUAUGCAUGUUCAUGUUGGCUAAUCCAACAAAAGAUCAAGAGACUUAAGUUCCUCUUUUCCGGACAAUCAUCCAUAUAAGUUAAAUUUCUACACAAUUGUUUGAAUUAUUUGAAUUUUCUGGCUAGUUGCACGUUGUCUUGAAUGUAUAGGACAGUUCAACUUUUGCGUCAGCUUAUGAAAACUGUAUCUUUCCAGCUAGCACAGCUCUGAAGGUCUUGCUUAAAUGCACAAUCGCUUUUCUUAAUAAUUUAAUCCCUAUUUAGGCUCUGUAAAUUCGUUAACUUGGACAUAGCAUUAAUAUAUUGUUCAAUCUGCUAGUUUGAGAACAGAGCAGCUGCAUGCAUAAACCUAAUUAAGAUACCCAUACAAAUUACAUCAGUGGGAGAUUUCAGAUAAGACCAAAAGUUGGUGUAUUAAUAGCCCUUAGGUUUUUUUAAAAAAAAUUAUAUUUUGAUAUUUUUCUUGCUCCAGGUUUUUCAAAAGCGACUGCCCCCAGAAGCAGUUGACCUGGUAUGCAGGUUUCUGCAGUACUCGCCAAAUCUCCGGUGCACUGCUGUAAGUUCAGGAUCAGAUCAUACCCUUCGAAUAGCAUUAUUUAUUUGAGAUGGUACCAUUAUACUGUUGAAUUCUGAGCAUGUGAGAACCUGCAGUUGGAAGCCUGCAUGCACCCUUUCUUUGAUGAGCUGAGAGAUCCAGAUACUCGUCUACCCAAUGGUCGUCCUCUUCCUCCGCUCUUCAACUUUAAACCUCAAGGUAAUGAACUCUUCAGACAUUGAUCAUAGCAUAGCAAGUAAUUCUCAUAUUUCUGUCAGCUAAUAUCAUAUAAAUUCACAUGUGGCUGUGACUUUCUAACUGUUCAAACGCCAUCCUACCUCCAAGAGCUUGCUGACCUGUCAUUGGACUGUUGCUCUAUUUCAUCUUUAUACCUGUUUUUCUGUAAUCUCCUUUAUCUACCAUGAGGCAAUACUUAGGCGAUGUGAAUUAUAUUUUGCUUGUUUGAUUUCCAAUAUCAUAUUAUGAAUGCAAUAACUUAAAUGUGUCAUUUAUCUACAAAUUCUUCAGUGCAAUUUUACCAUUUGUAGUCAGUAAUUCAGAACUUGUUGAGGGUCCAAUGAAGCAGUCCCGGUACAUGAUCUUUAUAUAAGCAUUAUAUAACCAUAUUACCAUCUUUGAUUGAAUACUUGUUUUGGAAAUUUAAUGUCCAAAGUUUUGCUAAUAUUCUACCUAUAUAAUGA